AUUGUAGUCUGCAACUCGACUACAUGAAGCUGGAAUCGCUAGUAAUCGCGAAUCAGAAUGUCGCGGUGAAUACGUUCCCGGGUCUUGUACACACCGCCCGUCACACCAUGGGAGUUGGUAACGCCCGAAGUCAGUGACCCAACCGAAAGGAGGGAGCUGCCUAAGGCGGGACCGAUAACUGGGGUGAAGUCGUAACAAGGUAAC
rnacentral:rRNA from 1 species